rnacentral:misc_RNA from 1 species
GAUGAAGAACGCAGCGAAAUGUGAUACGUAAUGUGAAUUGCAGAAUUCAGUGAAUCAUCGAAUCUUUGAACGCAUAUUGCGCUCUUUGGUAUUCCGAAGAGCAUGCUUGUUUGAGUAUCAGUAAACACCUCAACCUCUUCUUGAUUUUUCAAAAGGAGGGUGGACUUGAGCUAUCCCAACAACCUUUACCGGUCGGCGGGCGGCUUGAAAUGCAGGUGCAGCUGGACUUUUAUCUGAGCUAAAAGCAUAUCUAUUUAGUCCUCGUCAAACAGGAUUAUUACUUUUGCUGCAGCUAACAUAAAGGAUAAUUGUCCUCUUUGCUGACUGAUGCAGGAUUUUACGACACUUUAUGUGUUGUUCAACUCGAUCUCAAAUCAAGUAAGACUACCCGCUGAACUUAAGCAUAUCAAUAAGCGGAGGA